rnacentral:rRNA from 1 species
CCUACGGGAGGCAGCAGUAGGGAAUAUUGCUCAAUGGGCGAAACCCUGAACCAGCAACGCCGCGUGGAGGAUGAAGGCUUUCGGAUUGUAAACUCCUUUUGUUAGAGAAGAUAAUGACGGUAUCUAACGAAUAAGCACCGGCGAACUCCGUGCCAGCAGCCGCGGUAAUACGGAGGGUGCAAGCGUUAUUCGGAAUCACUGGGCGUAAAGAGCGCGUAGGCGGGAUAGCAAGUCAGAUGUGAAAUCCUAUGGCUUAACCAUAGAACUGCAUUUGAAACUGUUAUUCUAGAGUAUGGGAGAGGUAGGUGGAAUUCUUGGUGUAGGGGUAAAAUGCGUAGAGAUCAAGAGGAAUACUCAUGGCGAAGGCGACCUGCUAGAACAUAACUGACGCUGAUGCGCGAAAGCGUGGGGAGCAAACAGGAUUAGAUACCCGGGUAGUC